GGAAUUGUUCGCAAUGGGCGCAAGCCUGACGACGCAACGCCGCGUGGAGGAUGAAGACUUUCGGGUCGUAAACUCCUUUCGACCGAGAUGAAUUCCCGCCGACCUAACACGUCGGCGGGGUGACAGGAUCGAGGGAAAAAGCCCCGGCUAACUCCGUGCCCGCAGCCGCGGUAAUACGGGGGGGGCAAGCGUUGUUCGGAAUUACUGGGCGUAAAGGGCUCGUAGGCGGCCAACUAAGUCGGAUGUGAAAUCCCCAGGCUCAACCUGGGAACUGCAUCCGAUACUGGAUGGCUUGAAUUCGGGAGAGGGAUGCAGAAUUCCAGGUGUAGCGGUGAAAUGCGUAGAUAUCUGGAGGAAUACCGGUGGCGAAGGCGGCAUCCUGGACCGACAUUGACGCUGAGGAGCGAAAGCUAGGGGAGCAAAC
rnacentral:rRNA from 1 species